UUAAAUUGAAGAGUUUGAUCAUGGCUCAGAUUGAACGCUGGCGGCAGGCCUAACACAUGCAAGUCGAACGGCAGCACAGAAGAGCUUGCUCUUUG
rnacentral:rRNA from 1 species